CAUUUAUAUCAGUUAACAAUGCAA
rnacentral:misc_RNA from 1 species